rnacentral:tRNA from 1 species
UGGGGAGUGGUGUAACGGCAGCACGUCAGCCUUUGGAGCUGUUCGGUCGCGGUUCGAAUCCGCGCUCCCCAGCC